GAACCCCGUCCGCGACCCGCGACCAACCCCCGGUGAAGCCCCUUCGACGAGUCGAGUUGUUUGGGAAUGCAGCUCAAAACGGGUGGUAAAUUCCAUCUAAAGCUAAAUACCGGCCGGAGACCGAUAGCGCACAAGUAGAGUGAUCGAAAGAUGAAAAGCACUUUGGAAAGAGAGUCAAACAGCACGUGAAAUUGUUGAAAGGGAAGCGCUUGCGACCAGACCUGCCCCGCGGGCGAUCAGCCCCCGUUCUCGGGGGUGCACUCGCCCGCGACCAGGCCAGCAUCGGUGCGGGCGGCCGGAGAAAGGCCGGGGGAACGUAGCUCCCCUCGGGGAGUCUUAUAGCCCCCGGCGCCAUACGGUCAGCCCGGACCGAGGACCGCGCUCCGGCGAGGAUGCUGGCGUAAUGGUCGUCAGCGGCCCGUCUUGAAACACGGACCAAGGAGUCUAACGUCUAUGCGAGUGUUUGGGCGUCAAACCCACGCGCGGAAUGAAAGUGAACGGAGGUGAGAACCCUCCCUCCCGGGGGGGCGCAUCAUCGACCGAUCCAGAUGUCUUCGGAUGGAUUCGAGUACGAGCAUAGCCGUGGGAACCCGAAAGACUGGUGAACUAUACUUGAAUAGGGUGAAGCCAGAGGAAACUCUGGUGGAGGCUCGCAGCGGUUCUGACGUGCAAAUCGAUCGUCGAAUUUGGGUAUAGGGGCGAAAGA
rnacentral:rRNA from 1 species